AGAACGAACGCUGGCGGCAGGCUUAACACAUGCAAGUCGAACGCUCGUAGCAAUACGGGAGUGGCAGACGGGUGAGUAACGCGUGGGAACAUACCCUCCGGUUCGGAAUAGCUCAGGGAAACUUGGAUUAAUACCGGAUACGGCUGAGAGGCGAAAGAUUUAUCGCCGGAGGAUUGGCCCGCGUUCGAUUAGCUUGUUGGUGGGGUAACGGCCUACCAAGGCGACGACGGGUAGCCGGCCUGAGAGGGCGACCGGCCACACUGGGACUGAGACACGGCCCAGACUCCUACGGGAGGCAGCAGUGGGGAAUAUUGCGCAAUGGGCGAAAGCCUGACGCAGCGACGCCGCGUGGGGAUGAAGGCCUUCGGGUUGUAAACCCCUUUCAGCAGGGACGAAGCGAAAGUGACGGUACCUGCAGAGAGCGCCGCUACUACGCGCCAGCAGCCGC
rnacentral:rRNA from 1 species